rnacentral:lncRNA from 1 species
CUAACUUGAAAUGAUUAGAUAUAAUUCUUUUUAUUGAACAACAUUAAAUUUUUUCCGACGUGUCAAACAAGAUUCCACUGUGACACAUGCAUUAUUUAUACAGUUUUGUACAUAUGACAACUUUCUUCUUACUCUCCAUUACACAUAGAAACAAGAGCUACCUUCACUUCCAUAUCUCACAUAUCAUUCAUAUCUAUUUCUCCAAUCAUCAUCUUCACUACCAUUCACCUUCUCCAUUUUCCCCUUCUUCACCAUUCUCAAAUUUGC